rnacentral:rRNA from 1 species
GAUGAACGCUGGCGGCGUGCCUAAUACAUGCAAGUCGAGCGAACGGACGAGAAGCUUGCUUCUCUGAUGUUAGCGGCGGACGGGUGAGUAACACGUGGAUAACCUACCUAUAAGACUGGGAUAACUUCGGGAAACCGGAGCUAAUACCGGAUAAUAUUUUGAACCGCAUGGUUCAAAAGUGAAAGACGGUCUUGCUGUCACUUAUAGAUGGAUCCGCGCUGCAUUAGCUAGUUGGUAAGGUAACGGCUUACCAAGGCAUCGAUGCAUAGCCGACCUGAGAGGGUGAUCGGCCACACUGGAACUGAGACACGGUCCAGACUCCCACGGGAGGCAGCAGUAGGGAAUCUUCCGCAAUGGGCGAAAGCCUGACGGAGCAACGCCGCGUGAGUGAUGAAGGUCUUCGGAUCGUAAAACUCUGUUAUUAGGGAAGAACAUAUGUGUAAGUAACUGUGCACAUCUUGACGGUACCUAAUCAGAAAGCCACGGCUAACUACGUG